UUCUCCAAUUGCAACUUGCAAGAAGAUGUGCCCAAGAUCGGGAUGCAAAGGCUCAAGAAUGUUCUCCUUAGGGGGAGUGAAUACGCACUGUACUCUUUUUUCCUUACGAGGUUUUGUCCCACUGAGUUUUCCUUAUAAGGUUUUUAAUGAGGCAACCUAUAUGCGUAUUGUUAGAGAUGUGUACUCUUUUUCGUUCACUAGAUUUUUUUUCCCACCAGAUUUUUUCUAGUAAGGUUUUAAUGAGACACAUUAUCUACCUAGAUAUUCAAGGGGGAGUGUUAUAAAUGUAUUUACAUUAUAGUGAAUCUCUAUCAAGAUCUAUCAAGAUCUAGUUGAUAUCUAUUAGGAUUUGAAGUAUCUAUUUUUUAGUCAGAAAUUAAGAGUAUUUUCUCCUAUAAAUAGAGGAAUUUUGUUCAUUGUAUGAUCAAUGUUAUGAUCUCUGAUCCCUCAAGAGAAAUAAAGAAGUCUUUCCUCUUCUCUCUCUAUUUAUUCUUGUUUUUGCUUUAUAUUUUCCUGUUUUUUCUUUUAUAUUUCAUAACAUUAUUAUUAUUAUUAUUAUUAUUCUGGAAAAGUCCUUUUGGCCACAAUUUGGUCACAAUAGAAAAAAGUUAUAUUCACACUAUGAACUAGUUA
rnacentral:lncRNA from 1 species